rnacentral:sRNA from 1 species
GGGAAAAUAGGUGGAAAUUCAAAAAUCAAGUGAAAAAAGGUGGUGAGUCAAUUGUUUCGGGUAAGAGACUGCACCUGAGGGCGGAGGAUAGGAGUAUUUCUACUCCUAAUACUGCUCAGGACAGUUUGUAGAUAGUCGAGUAGGACGAGAACUAAGCUCGGAAUUACAUUAUAGAAAGUAAGAGUUCACAAUCUUACAUCCUCUUGGUCAAUUGGGGCCCACGUGUCA